GUCAGAAGUGUCGGUGGAGGACCCAACGUGCAGGAGACCAGGACUCAGACUCCCAGAAUCCUCAGAGUCUUCAGGGACCUCCAGAACCUUAGGAUCCUCAGAGUGAAGAUCCCUUCUGGCAGAUAUAUUCUUGCUGCAUAAACACAGUCUGCUUGAUCUCACUCCAGCCCUCUUUUCAUUUGUUUGUCGAACCUUCUACCUUGGAUCAAGCACCACUUCUAGUCGGCCCUGCAAGAAUCGUGUGGCUCAACAGCAAAAGUAACCAGUCAAGAAAUAAUGUCUCCGAGGGUCUGAUUUAUCGCUGAAAGAUGGUGUACUUACCAAACUCUGAAGAUCCUCCGGUCUACAAACCCCCACGCUUCACGCCAAACGCCCAACAACCCGGCGGUUGGAGCUUCCUGUUCGGCGCUUUAGUGGAGAUGACAGGUCUCUGACGUCCAUAUUCCGGCGGGACACCUUGGAAUUCCUCUUCCUUCCAAGCCACUUCACCCACACCGUCAACCAGCCCAGCAAUUCAACUUUAACCUGAGAAAAAUGUCACUAAUUGUCCUCUGACAAAGCAACACUAAUUGCUUUGAAAUUGUGCUCCAAAGAAAAGCUGCAACCCGGAGUGUUUGUCAUGACUGCGGAGCCUCAAAGAUCACAAAUUCUUGGUGGGUUUGAUGAAUGAAUUCAUUUCCACAGCUCAAGGUAAACGGCCAGGCGUGUUAAUUAAAGGCUCACUAAUGUUCUUGAA